rnacentral:rRNA from 1 species
CGCCCAACAGCUAGCCCGCAAACACAACAUCAACCCGCCCCUAUUUAUAACCCUAAAUGUACGAAUAGUAUACCUAAGUAAACCAUUUUUCCCCUUUAGUAUAGGUGAUAGAAAAAGAACUAAGGAGCAAUAGAGAAAGUACCGCAAGGGAUCGCUGAAAGAGAAAUGAAAUAACCCAGUAAAGCCAUCAAAAGCAGAGAUCUGCCCUCGUACCUUUUGCAUCAUGAUUUAGCCAGUGUGCUCAAGCAAAACGCAUUUUAGUUUGAUACCCCGAAACUAAGUGAGCUACUCCAAGACCGCCUAUUUAUAGGGCAAACCCGUCUCUGUGGCAAAAGAGUGGGAUGAUCUUCGAGUAGAGGUGACAGACCUACCGAACUUCGUUAUAGCUGGUUGCCCGGGAAAUGGAUAGAAGUUCAGCCUUUCAGGUUCUUCAUUAACCCAGUAAUAAACCCCUGAUAAAACAAGAAACUGUAAGAGUUAGUCAAAGGGGGUACAGCCCCUUUGAACCAAGAUACAACUUUCACGGGAGGGUUAAGAUCAAA